GGAGGCGUGGACUCCAGUCUAAAGUUGCGAUCUCGUAAGAGGGAGCUAAUCUGAAAAAGCCGAUCUCAGUUCGGAUUGAGGGCUGCAACUCGCCCUCAUGAAGCCGGAAUCGCUAGUAAUCGCGAAUCAGCAAUGUCGCGGUGAAUACGUUCUCGGGUCUUGUACACACCGCCCGUCACACCAUGAGAGUUGAUAAUACCAGAAGUCGGUAUUCUAACCGCAAGGAGGAAGCCGCCCAAGGUAGGAUUGAUGAUUAGGGUGAAGUCGUAACAAGGUAUCCGUACGAGAACGUGCGGAUGGAUCACCUCCUUUCUAUGGAGUUAAUACUUUAUAGUAAUUAACUAGUUUUAAUGACCGUUAUGUUUAGUUUUCAGAGAUUAGUUUCUCUGACAAUAACAAGUAAAUGUUAUUGGAAUUGUUCUUUGAAAACUGGAUAAUAGACAUCUAGUUAUUUUAAUCACAUGAUUAAAAUAACAAUAAUUCAAAAUUUCUGUUAUUUUUAAAAAAUAACUAAAAUUUCACAGUUAUAUUUGUAAAUGAUUCUCAAAAAACUGAUUUAAAAUCAGGUCAAAUAAUUUAUAAAACUUUGAAGUUACAAAGGGCGUAUGGUGAAUGCCUUGGGAAUAGGAGACGAUGAAGGACGUGACUACCUGCGAUAAGGUUCGGGGAGCUGGAAGUAAGCUUUGAUCCGGACAUGUCCGAAUGGGGAAACCCGGUGAGAUUAAUCUCUCAUCAUCCUAUAAUGAAUAAAUAGUUAUAGUGAAGGUAUACCUAGGGAAUUGAAACAUCUUAGUACCUAGAGGAAAAGAAAGCGAAUGCGAUUCUCUUAGUAGCGGCGAGCGAACGGGGAACAGCCCAAACCAGAUUUAUCUGGGGUUGUAGGACCAUAAUAGUAGAGUUACAAAACUUGUUUAUAGUAGAAAUGGUUGGGAAACCAUGCCGUAGAGGGUGAUAGCCCCGUAUACGAAAUAGACAAGACUCGAAAUGGAAUCCUGAGUACGGCGAGACACGUGAAAUCUUGUCGGAAUCAACGCGGACCACCGCGUAAGGCUAAAUACUACCUAUUCACCGAUAGUGAACCAGUACCGUGAGGGAAAGGUGAAAAGCACCCCGGGAGGGGAGUGAAAUAGUACCUGAAACCAUAUGCCUACAAGAAGUCGGAGCCCGUUAAUGGGUGACGGCGUGCCUUUUGUAGAAUGAGCCGGCGAGUUAUGAUAGCAUGCAAGGUUAAGUAGAAAAUACGGAGCCGUAGUGAAAGCGAGCCUUAAUAGGGCGUUUAGUAUGUUGUCAUAGACCCGAAACCAGGUGAUCUAGCCAUGAGCAGGUUGAAGUUGAGGUAAAACUUAAGGGAGGACCGAACACGACGUCCGCGAAAAGACCUCGCCUAUGGCGAGAAG
rnacentral:sRNA from 1 species